CGGGCGUGAGGGGAGAAGCGGGGCCGGGCAGGGCCGUGAGGGGAGAGCGGGGGCCGGGCAGGGCUGUGAGCGGAUCCGCUCUCCUCUGGGUGCUCCGGGGCGAGACACACACUGUCCGUGCCUCCACAGCUCCCGAGUCCGCCCUUUGUCCUUCUGCGAAUACGCUGAUGGUUGCGGCAGCUAAAUGUGAGUGAGGUCUCCCGAGUUAACGGCGCUCCUGCAUAUAAAAAUUGAAACAUUUUAAAACAUGGCUAUCCUACUCCUAAAAAUGGAAUCGGUGAGAACUUUCAGUUUGGACGUGCCAUCAUUGCUGUUGGGAGAGGAACACAGCUCUCAGCAGACAAAUACAGCAGGCAGCAAAACGUCACCAGCACUGGGCUUCAGAAAUCCUCAGGACAGCCACUUUUUACCAGUUUGUGAGUGUUUGAAUGCACCAUCAGGAAGGCAGCCACAGACCCAGCUGUGUGGGAUCUGCCUGUGUUACCCUGUAAAGGCAUUUUGGGAGCACAGCUCUGAGGAGACAGACUGCUAAAUAAACAGCUAAAUGGCUACAAACUGCAGGGCCUAUAUUAAUCCCAGUUUUCAGUGAGAAUGAGUCACUUCCUACUGAUUAAUGUUACACAGUAAUCAUGGAAUCACAGGAUGCUUUGGGUUGGAAGAGACCUUAAAAAUAAUCUCAUUCCACCCAUGGGCAGGGACACCUUCCACUAUCCCAGGUUGCCCCAAGCCCCAUCCAACCUGUCCUUAAA